rnacentral:rRNA from 1 species
GACGAACGCUGGCGGCGUGCCUAACACAUGCAAGUCGAGCGCUCGGCCAUCGGUAGCAAUACCGGUGGCGGGCGAGCGGCGAACGGGUGCGUAACACGUGGGCAAUCUGCCCCAGACUCUGGGAUAACCCCGGGAAACCGGGGCUAAUACCGGAUACUCUCGGCCGGCCGCAUGAUCGGCCGAGGAAAGCUCCGACGGUCUGGGAUGGGCCCGCGGCCUAUCAGCUUGUUGGGGGGGUAACGGCCUACCAAGGCGACGACGGGUAGCUGGUCUGAGAGGACGGCCAGCCACACUGGGACUGAGAUACGGCCCAGACUCCUACGGGAGGCAGCAGUGGGGAAUCUUGCGCAAUGGGCGAAAGCCUGACGCAGCGACGCCGCGUGAGGGAUGAAGGCCUUCGGGUUGUAAACCUCUUUCGGCAGGGACGAAGCGAAAGUGACGGUACCUGCAGAAGAAGCCCCGGCUAACUACGUGCCAGCCGCCGCCGUAA